GACGAACGCUGGCGGCGUGCUUAACACAUGCAAGUCGAACGGAAAGGCCCUGCUUUUGUGGGGUGCUCGAGUGGCGAACGGGUGAGUAACACGUGAGUAACCUGCCCUUGACUUGGGGAUAACUUCAGGAAACUGGGGCUAAUACCGGAUAGGAGCGCCUGCUGCAUGGUGGGGGUUGGAAAGUUUCGGCGGUUGGGGAUGGACUCGCGGCUUAUCAGCUGGUUGGUGGGGUAGUGGCUUACCAAGGCUUUGACGGGUAGCCGGCCUGAGAGGGUGACCGGCCACAUUGGGACUGAGGUACGGCCCAGACUCCUACGGGAGGCAGCAGUGGGGAAUAUUGCACAAUGGGCGGAAGCCUGAUGCAACAACGCCGCGUGCGGGAUGACGGCCUUCUGGUUGUAAACCGCUUUCGCCUGUGACGAAGCGUGAGUGACGGUAAUGGGUAAAGAAGCACCGGCUAACUACGUG
rnacentral:rRNA from 1 species